rnacentral:rRNA from 1 species
UAGGGAAUAUUGGGCAAUGGGCGAGAGCCUGACCCAGCCAUGCCGCGUGCAGGAUGAAGGCUUUCUGAGUCGUAAACUGCUUUUGCCAGGGAAGAAAAAAGGGGAUGCGUCCUCUACUGACGGUACCUGGUGAAUAAGCACCGGCUAACUCCGUGCCAGCAGCCGCGGUAAUACGGAGGGUGCGAGCGUUGUCCGGAUUUAUUGGGUUUAAAGGGUGCGUAGGCGGCUCGAUAAGUCUGGGGUGAAAGCCCGUUGCUCAACAACGGAACUGCCCUGGAAACUGCCGAGCUUGAGUACAGACGAGGGUGGCGGAAUGGAUACUGUAGCGGUGAAAUGCAUAGAUAGUAUCCAGAACCCCGAUUGCGAAGGCAGCUGCCUAGACUGUAACUGACGCUGAGGCACGAAAGCGUGGGGAGCGAACAGG